CCUACGGGUGGCAGCAGUGAGGAAUAUUGGUCAAUGGCCGAGAGGCUGAACCAGCCAAGUCGCGUGAGGGAAGACGGCCCUACGGGUUGUAAACCUCUUUUGUCGGGGAGCAAAGCGAACCACGUGUGGUUCAUUGAGAGUACCCGAAGAAAAAGCAUCGGCUAACUCCGUGCCCGCAGCCGCGGUAAUACGGGGGAUGCGAGUGUUAUCCGGAUUUAUUGGGUUUAACGGGUGCGCAGGCGGAGGUGCAAGUCAGCGGUCAAAUUGCGGGGCUCAACCCCGUACUGCCGUUGAAACUGCAUCCCUUGAGUGCGCGAGAAGUAUGCGGAAUGCGCGGUGUAGCGGUGAAAUGCAUAGAUAUCACGCAGAACUCCGAUUGCGAAGGCAGCAUACCGGCGCGCAACUGACGCUCAUGCACGAAAGCGUGGGUAUCGAACAGGAUUAGAUACCCGAGUAGUC
rnacentral:rRNA from 1 species